CCAAGUCUGUGCUCAAACUGGCUGGUACAGGAGUUUUAUUCCACAUGUAAUUUCCCUGCUGUGGAACUAAUAAAGGCAUUCUCAAUUUUGUUAUGAGAGCUGCUCCUUUAACUGAUUCUAGUCUAUUUCUAAACAGUUGUCGUGGGAGGGAAAGCAUGAGAAGGCCUUCCUGAAUCUAAAGGAGGCCUUGUGUGAUGAGCCAGUUUUGCAGAGCCCUGACUUUAACCAGCCCUUCACUGUCUAAACUGAUGCUUCAGCAAUGGACCUACUGUUGGAGCAGUCUUGCUUCAGAGGGAGGGUGCGGCCAGUGGCUUAUGUUCCCACAAGUUACUGUAUGGCAGAGGGCGACGCGGUACUCAGCUGUGGAGCUAGAGUGCCUGGCCAUCAAAUGGGCUUUAAAGACUGUUAAAUAUUAUCUUCUAGGCAGAAACAUAAUUCUUCAGACUGAUCACAGGGGCCUGCAUUGGAACUCAUCAGCAACUCCUACUUUAAUAGGAGUGCUUGAUCUGAGCCAGCCUUGCUCAUGACGGCUGGGCUCUACCAAGCGGAGGGUGGACUGUGGGCAGAAAGCAUCACACCUGGCAGUGAAUUUGAUUUUAAUAUUUAUUUUUUGUGAGUUUCUUAUUGAAUUUAUAUUAGGGGGGUACUGGCGCGACAUUUGUUGCCACAGAGGAAUGACUUGGUGUGUGUUUUCUCAGCCGGCCUCACCUGAGCAGGGUGGUGCAUGCUGCUCAGGUGUGCAGGCGCAGACCUGACGCAGGAUGCAAAUAUGGAGUCAAAUUAGGUUCUGAUUAGAUCUGUGUGUGUGUAUACCGAUCUGUGCAUGCGUAAUCCGAUCUGUGCUUGCAUUACCAGAUGUGUGCGUGCGUGCGUGCGUGCGUGGGUAAUCAAGUCUGUGCGUGCGUAAACAGAUCUUUGCAUGCGCCAUCAGUAAGUGGACUACAGUAGCUGCUUGUGGAGCUUUCAGGAUCUGCUGUGCCACGUCAAAGGACUGCGACAACUUCCUUGCUCAUUAGCCAAUCAGAGUGUGGAGGCAAAUUAAGGUCAUGUUAUUUCACUUGUAAACUGUCACGGAACGGCAGAGAGAGGACCCAAAUGCGCAGUGCAGACGCAGCAGACAGAGGGAACGAUAUCCUGGUAUUCUCACGGACCGAGGAAGAACACCGCCAGCACGUCGGCCAAGUCCAGAAAAAGCUGCUGGGGCACAAGCUUUAUGUCAAAGCUGAGAAAUGUGAAUUUCAUGUGCCAACUGUCUCUUACCAAAUGGACCCCUCCAAGACCCAAGCAGUGAUUGGCCAGUCCCAUUGGGAUGUUCAGCGUCCAGGUUUACCAACUUCUAUCGCCGUUCACCCGACGUUUCAGGACGAUUUCUUCACCUCUGCAUGCUUUCCUUGCCAGCAGAUCCAACUUACCCCCAGGUUACAGCUACGCGAGAGGAGUGGCGAUCAACUUUAAUGGUAACACACCCCUAAAACAGGCACUGGAAUCUCCCAGCAGAAUAAUGGGGUCCCCAGUUGGAGCGUUUUCCAACACUCCCUCAAGAAAUCCAAAGAAGGACUCCACAUUGCCAUUCGGCCCGUAGGCACACAUAGUAGUAAGUAACCUAUUCCCGACCCAAAGGCCCAGGUAAAUUUCCCUUUUGGUCCACAGGGAAAAACUCUUAACACGUGAGGCUAAGCUGGUGAGCUACAGUAUAAGCAAGUCUACACCAACCUGCCGCCUCUGACCGUGGGCGAGUCCAGCCCCUCGCGAUUUAACUAUCACUGCAUAUAUAAAUCUCACCUUUUAAUUACUCCUAGAUCUGAACACAGUUCAGAAAUUUUAACUGCUUAGAUGCACAGAUCAAAUCAUUGUGCUGACUCAACAGUGCUAUACAUUUAAUUCACUGCUAGACAUUACUGCAUUUUGGUCAGCAUGUAAGUAAAUCUACUGCCUUAAUCAUCAGGUCAAUCUUGUCCUGACUUAUAGAGUUUAAAUUUCUCAUUUCAUAGUUCUUUCUCAUACCCCUUGAUUGUAGCAGAUUGUGCAGCAAUUGGAAAUAAAUUCCACAUCUGGAUAUGUUUAUGAGAUGAUGCUAUUGUUAGAUGAUUAAUAUGAUUAUUCCAUCAUCUUUUGCUCUAUUCCAAAUUAUUUACACGGAGAAGAGCACUCACCGAUACUAUGGUGGCUAAUGAUAAUGAGUGUGAGUGAAGUUAGCAUAUGGUGCUUUUUAUAUUAAAAAGUUAUAUUAUAAAGAAAGACUCAAUAAAUUAAUCUGUGAAAUCUAAAAGACAAAGUCCUGGAUGGAAGUACUGUAAAACUAAGGUUAGUAUUUGUAUUUGUUAUUAUUUGUUUAAGUUCUUAUUUUAGGGUUGAGAAGCAGACACUACUUUUAUGAAUGGGCUUAAAAAAGCUUUAGAUGCUAGGGGACCUCCUUCAUACAUUAAGCACCUGUACAUUUCUCACUUUUGAGGUAAUAGAGGUCAGCAUGUAAUGGAAAGAAUGGUGAGGGGAUUUUUUUAACUGAAAUAAAUAAAACAAAUAAAUGUAAAUAUUACUGCUGGGGAUGUUUAACACCAACCAAUCAGAGCCUUUUGGGGGAUGGCCUAAGACCGCUGCAGCUCUCGCUAAACUGGAACCGAAUAGGACCAAGGGCAGAUACAGUAAACGGUGUAUAAAUGGAAAGGUAAAGGUGUCUUAUGUGGACAUCAUCAAUUUAAAUCUCUUCAAAAUGGUGGAGUUUUUGGAAACAAAUUAUUCAAGGCAAAGCUGAAUCACCAUAGUGCUUCAAGUCUGAAGUAUCACUUAAAGAAAAACUUCACAGAUUUUUAAUGGGGUUGACCAAAACGACCUCGAGUAAUAUUUACGAAUGAAGGGAGACUCAGAUUGUUCCAUAAUUUCUAUGCUGAGAAGUUAGCACUCACUGUAUUCCUCCAGUUUGCCAUAAGCUCAAAAACUACUAAAAACUAGUGCGUCUUGGUUUUCUCUGUACCUGCUCCUGCAACGGUCUGAAAGCGGGAUGGAGUCAGCCUGCUGGAGGGCAACUGCUCUUCCAGUCAUUGUUUUUCCUUGCAUAUGAAUACAGCACUACUGUAAUAUUCAAUUAUUCGAGAUACGCCGUCAAGGGGACUACAAGGCAGUCUGUGCAACGAGAGCCGGUGUCUGGCAUAGCCAAAUGCCUGCAACAGACAGCCAAGUGCCAGAUGCAUCAUGUCUCUGCACCAAUAGAAGCAAAACAGAAUGUCCCAGUGCUGCAAUGAAUCUACCACUGCUGGUUUCUUAUGACCUGGAAACUAGCUUCAGAAUGCCAAGAAGAAACUAGAAAAAACAGCUGUCACAGAACGGUGGAAUGACAACUCAGUAAUAUGGGCCAGUCGCGUAUCGCACAGAGACUCUUGGAAGGGACAACCGUCUUGUUUUUCCAGCCACUAACAGCAGAUGAAGAAAAGAAGACGGUUUGGGCUAAAUGAAGAAUCUGUGGCUUUAUAACAACUGUCUGUUUAGGUAAAUAAAAUAAUCUCACAAAUAAAAAGCUGCUGAACUACUUAGAAACUAUGUCUUUUUUCAAACACAGUUAAAACAUAACCUUUUGUUAAAAAUGUAAAGCAAUGUCUGUACAUUUGUCUGUUAGAUUCAGUUGUGCUUGUAUCUCUGCCGGAUGCUAGCUCUCAGCUCUCUGCUGUGGGUGGCGGUUCCUUACGGGCAGCCUCAUCCUCCUCCAAACAGUGUAACUCGUCCACGCUUUACCUUGGCUUAUGCAACCAACCACAAAUAUUAGACUGUGCUAAAGAUCUUGUUGCCUUUACGCGUAUGCGCUGAAACACAAUGCAGUAGUUUCGCUCCAGCAGGCUGCCCCUGCCCCCUCUGAGUCUGACCGUUGCUGGGGCAGGUACAGAGGAAACCACGAAGCACUAGUUGCAGUCUGGGAGCCCAUGGCAAAUACUCCACCACCAUGUCUUGGAGGAGGAAUGAAUGAUAAUUUCCCAGCAUAGAAAUUAUGGAGGAAUCUGAGUGUCCCUUCAUUCUUAAAUACUACCCGAGGUUAGUUUUGGUCAACCCCUAUUGAAAAUCGUUUAAGUUUCUUUCACCAAAGAGUAGUAGUUUUAAAAUAAAAAUGAGCAAUAUACGACUUUUGAGUUAGUUGCUGAAUGCUUCUCAUAUAAAUUGUUAAUGGCGAUUAAUCGCAAAAAACUCAUGCAGUUAACGUAAUUAAGAAUUUAGAUCAUUGCCCAGCACUAGUAAAUAUAUGAUGAACUUGGAAUACUUUAUUCCUUUCUGUAUGUCUGUCAGGAGGACACUGGUUUUGUUUUGUUUUGUUUUGUUUUGUUUUGUUUUGUUUUGUUUUGUUUUGUUUUGUUUUGUUUUGUUUUGUUUUGUUUUGUUUAAGUGUCUUCUUGGUUUGUUGUCUUGUCAGUUCCUGUAAAUUUGGUUCACCUGUUUUGUUUUCUAUUUAAAAGCCUAGAGUCACCAGGAUUACUUGCACUCACUUCCGGAACAGGUUUCUGUUUGUUCAGUGGAAAUGAGUCGGGUUCGGAGAUGCUCACCCUUCACAAAGCAAGCACAGGGCUCGCUGAGACAAUGGUCCUGAUCCUUCCUUAUCAGAAGGACGAGAUGUCUGGUGUGUAUUUAAUCAGUACUGAGGAAAGUUCUGUGACUCCCAGCAUUUCUACUGAGGUUUGUUUUGUCCUGUCCAGUUCUAUUGCUGUGGAUGAUCCUGUUUGCGCCAGCACUGCUGAGUGUAAUUCUGUUGCAGCCAUGAUAAUCAUUCUGUUUUAAAUGGUACUGCUGCUGAUUCCCUUGUCAUAUUAUCUGUCCCUGUUUGCAGCAAAAGGCUACACAGACUUUGCUGGACCCCAGGCUCAGUGGUACCACAGAGUCAUCUCCUUUAUGGCUGGGGGAAUCUUGCCUGCCCUGUGUCCUUACUGUCUUUUUUCCUCCUAAUGUGUGGAUAGGGGGUCUUUUAGCCUGCGGGUCUAAAAGUUCAGACCUGCUCCAUCUCAUCAGUUUUACAGCCUACCCCAGUUCUUCGUCAUGGUUUGCCUGCUCCUGGUCCGGUUUCUUCGUCCUGGUUCAACAGCUCCGGGUUUAGUUCUUCAUCCUAGUUUGCCUUCUCCUGGUAGUCUGGAAGUGACCACUGAUCCUCGUUCAGGCUCUGGUGGUCCAGUUAAGAUCACAUGGCUGCAUCCUGAGGGUUCAAAUAAGGCCACUCCUGCCCCUGUCGGAAUGUCUGAAUCUGUCCCAGCAGCUGCAGUGCUUCCCCUGGUGGUUCCUGAUGGCAGCAUGGCCGCUGUUCAGCCCACAUCAUUGGUUCCUCCACCUGCUGAGUUUUUUUUCAGUGGUCUCUGAAAGCAGAUGGGAGCUGCUCAGCCCACUGUAUCGUUGACUGCUCCUGCUAUGAUUCUCCCGUUGGUCCUCUACUCGUCCACCUAGUGCGGCUCAUUGUUGCUUGUCUUUUAGUGUUACUUGCCAAGCAGGUGACUCAUUCGCUGUGAUGACCCCUGACAGAAAAAAAGCUGAAAGUUCCUGUUUAUUUUUACGCUUGUAAAUACUGUCUAUGGUUCGGGCAUUUGGGUCCUCCCUCUGGGUUUGGAAAUAAGCCUUAGCAGCCAUUCUUCCCACUCAUGGUGAAUGUGAAUACAGCCCUAGCACCUGUUUUCCCAAACGUGUAUAGAUAAAGUAAAUCCUUUGGAACACACCACACAAUUUACUUUACAUAGGGAAAAAAUAAUAAAAUAAGUGAGAAAGAAUACAUUUUCCUUGCUGACUCCAUCUCAGGCCACAGAGAUGGAGAUUUGUCUGGCUGUCCUGAACCAGUCAUGAUGUAAUGCCUGCUGGCAAGGCCUUAGACGUCAACACACACACGUCAUCAAACCAGCACAAACUCAUAAGUCCCUGCGAGGCCCAUCACUAUCUUUUAAUAAAUUGAUACAGUUGUAUGACAUCCUAGGCAGGUUAGGAAGACAAAGGUUGGGGUGAUAAUCAGCUUUAAUUUGCAGCAAUAAAAACAAUCUGUGGGGAUCAGACGUGACAGCUGUCUGCACUACAGCAUGCCUGUUACAGGGUUUCAUAUUGCAGAGCUCAGAGUAGAACUCAUGAUGAAUGAACUGAAUCAUUAAGAGGUAUCUUACGAAAAGCAGUAAUAUGUAAGUCUGUAUGGUUUAAUUACCCCAAACCUUGCUGUGAACUCCACAGGUGAGUUAUUGUAUUGAGCAGAAGCCUGAUAAACUCAUGACAGUAGAUGCUGCUCCUUGCCUACAGUGAUUUGUUGGUGGAUUAUGUGAUUCAUUAUCUGAUUAGCUUAAAUCAAUUAACAGCCUAAAUGAAAACAAAAGGGAGCCCUUUAGGGGAGGAAACAAUGGCCUGGGGAAAAUUGUAAUUUGUGUGUAGGCUUAACCUAGUUUCUACUUCAUUGUCCUGUUACAUUUUACUAAAAGAUGUUUCUACCAUCUGCCCAGUCUUCCAGUCAGUCCUCUACAGUCUCUGGAUGGAUAAUACAAAAAAAAUAUAUAUAAAUAUAUAUUUAUAUUAUAUUGUAUUUAUAAAUAAUUAUAUAAUUACAAGUGGCGAUUGUAUAAUCUACAAUAGUUUCCUGUUUAUUGUUUAGCUGUACUACUUAACUAUAAUUUGAUAAAAAGAAUACUAAGUAAAAGUAUUAUUUACCAAAAAAUGAGAAAAAAUAGUUUGUAACAAAGUUAUCACUAAUUAUUGAUUAAAUACACUUUUUAACCAUCUAUUUUUAUUGAAGUUUUUAAAAAUGUAUUAGGAUGUGAUGAAUGUGCAUGGUAUGUAAUAUUUUUAUGUCUGUAAUAUUGUUGUUUAAGUAACUGAUUGUUUCGCUGCACAAAAAAAGCCAUUUUGCCCUCAACUGCAACCAUGUUUGUGAGAUAAACGUCAACAUGGUAAAAAUGUAAAAUUAUUCUUUAA